rnacentral:snoRNA from 1 species
GACCUUGAGCUUUUCUAUAGUUUAUGACUUGAGCAUUGCGUUUCCAAAGUGUAUGGUCUCGCUGACCAUGCUGAAGAGUUGGUGAUGCUCCUUCUUGAAUGUGAAGAAAGUAGAUACUUGGUUCAUCCAUGUUCUCUGCUACUGAUGACUGUUCACUGUUUCUUUUAGAGACGGUGAAGAAAGGAGUAUGAUGUCAGUGGG